AGGACGAACGCUGGCGGCGUGCUUAACACAUGCAAGUCGAGCGGAAAGGCCACUUCGGUGGUACUCGAGCGGCGAACGGGUGAGUAACACGUGAGUAAUCUGCCCUCCACUUUGGGAUAGCCACCGGAAACGGUGAUUAAUACCGGAUAUGACCUCGCAUCGCAUGGUGUGUGGUGGUAAAGUUUUUCGGUGGGGGAUGGUGCUCGCGGCCUAUCAGCUUGAUGGUGGGUAAUGGCCUACCAUGGCUUCGACGGGUAGCCGGCCGUGGAGAGGGUCGACCGGCCACGACUGGGACUGACGACACGGCCCAGACCUCCGUACGGGAGCAGGCGAGGUGGGAAUGUUGGAUAAGUGGGCGGAAGCCUAGAUCCAGCAACGCCGCGUGAGGAUGACGGUCCGUUCGGUUAGUAACCUUCUUCAGCACGAGAACGGAGACGAAAGUGACGUA
rnacentral:rRNA from 1 species